GUCUACGGCCAUACCACCCUGAACGCGCGCAAUCUCAGAAGCUAAGCAGGGUCGGGCCUGGUUAGUACUUGGAUGGGAGGCCCCCUUGAAAUACUAGGUGCUGUAGGCU
rnacentral:rRNA from 1 species